AACGAACGCUGGCGGCACGCCUAACAUAUGCAAGUCGAACGAGACCUUCGGGUCUAGUGGCGCACGGGUGCGUAACGCGUGGGAACCUGCCCUUAGGUUCGGAAUAACUCCCCGAAAGGGGUGCUAAUACCGGAUAAUGUCUUCGGACCAAAGAUUUAUCGCCUUUGGAUGGGCCCGCGUUGGAUUAGCUAGUUGGUAGGGUAAAAGCCUACCAAGGCGACGAUCCAUAGCUGGUCUGAGAGGAUGAUCAGCCACACUGGGACUGAGACACGGCCCAGACUCCUACGGGAGGCAGCAGUGGGGAAUAUUGGACAAUGGGCGAAAGCCUGAUCCAGCAAUGCCGCGUGAGUGAUGAAGGCCUUAGGGUUGUAAAGCUCUUUUACCCGGGAUGAUAAUGACAGUACCGGGAGAAUAAGCUCCGGCUAACUCCGUG
rnacentral:rRNA from 1 species